UACGUAGGGUGCAAGCGUUAAUCGGAAUUACUGGGCGUAAAGCGUGCGCAGGCGGUUCUAUAAGACAGGUGUGAAAUCCCCGGGCUUAACCUGGGAAUUGCAUUUGUGACUGUAGGACUAGAGCGUGUCAGAGGGGGGUGGAAUUCCACGUGUAGCAGUGAAAUGCGUAGAUAUGUGGAGGAACACCAAUAACGAAAACAGCCCCCUAAAAUAACACUGACGCUCAUGCACGAAAGCAUGGAGAGCAAACAGG
rnacentral:rRNA from 1 species